GGAGGAGCCACAGACUCCCUGUCAAGGUUCCAAACAAUGUUAGGGGGAGGAGCCACAGACUCCCUGUCAAGGUUCCAAACAAUGUUAGGGGGAGGAGCCACAGACUCCCUGUCAAGGUUCAAACAGAACAGUUUUUGUUUCUGGACGUCACAUUCAGUAAAAUUAUCUGUAAAAUAAACUGAACUUCCUGUUGGCUAAUUAUAUCGCCACAGUUUUUCAACAGCAUGAUAGAAUAAAUUCUGUGAUGGAUUUUAUUUUGGUGCCACUCCUUCUCACUGCUAACUCUGAAAAAACAAAAACAAAGCAGCAGCAGAACGUCAGCUGUAAGGAUAGAUUUUAUUACAUGAAUUAAUCCAAUGGAUGGGGAACGUAUAAUGAGACAUGUUGAAGUGAUAAAAACACAGACGGGUCGGUUCGGUUCUAAAMUCUUGGCAGCUGAAA